AUAUAUGUAUUCUAGAUCCAUCUUACUCCUCGUUUUUGAUAUUCGGUUGAAUAUUACUAGCUAAUUAAGAUCCUCAGCACUGAACACAUAAUUUUAUCAGAUACAUUAAUCAAUUUUCUACAUUAUUGGCUCGUUUUAACUAAUCACUUUUUAUUUUAUUGUGUCUAAAAUAAGGUUAAACCAAUAAAGUCAAGUCAAUAAAGUCAAGGUAUAAAACUGUCCUCAUCUCUCUCCUUCUCCAGCUUGGUCCGGAUAUUCAGCUGGCUGAUCGUUCCAUAGCUCGACCUCAUUCCGCUCGUUUUGUGCCGACAGCCAACAUUCGCUACAACAACGGCAUUUCGUAUUUCUUAUAUAUCAGCAUAAACACGUUGAUCCAUCAUCGAUUUGUGUCAUGUAUUGGACCACCUCUCCGCGGACUACAAGACCUGAAGGAUGACACCGCCACCGCCCGCGUUCAUCUAGUUCCAAUUGUCUAGUACAAUAUAUUAUUUAUUUUUAUGUUUUCGUGUUCAGGAGUCUCAUUGUUUUCAUUUCAUACAUUUUCUUUUUUUAGUUUAGAUUACUUUCAAGAUUUUCUCUAAGUAAAAAUAUUUUCUUCUCCGCUCCGCAAAGAUACUACGAUCGAUGUAGUAUGCAGAUGCUGAUGCAGAUUAAAAUCGCUUUUUCAAUAAUGUAUAAGUAAUGUUGUACAAACGCACACACGCACACAUAUAUCAACUCGAAUUUUAGCUAUUUUGUAGGUACUUAUCAAUGUAUAAUUGUAUGUAUAUCUUCUGUAUAUAUAGGGAUAUAUCUAUAUAAUGCUGCCCAUGCGGAUGGCAGGCUGGCUGGCUGGUGUAUACAUAGACUUAGUGGCUAGUACUAGCUAACCUAUAGAUUGCAUCACUUAGGGACUAUUUGGGGGAAGUGAACUCGAUACUCCAUUGCAGUUUUAGGAUCUUCUCUUAUUCUUAUGGUGUGUUAUUAUCCAUAUGGAUUUAAUUGAUAUAUUGUAAGGCAUUAUCGCAUUUUUAAAGUACGUCAUUCUGUUUAAAAUCUAGGCUAACUUUGCUCUUCUCCUGCUCAUCUCAGCGCUACGGUUAAAACAGGGAAUUAAGGAAUUUACACUCUCAGUUUUUACUUAGACCUAAUCUAAUCUCUAGCUAAUCGAUCCAGCUCCUCGAUCCUCAAUCCUAUCCUCCUCGUUCGAACCAACACUUCCAUUGUCCGUCCACAAAGAUUCUCUAAAUAAAUGUGGUAUUGCAUAAGAAUUACAUUCAGCGUGUUUCCCCCGACCUCUUCUCUUUUUCUUCUCUUGUUUGUAGACACAUUCGUUUCAUUAAUUGUUUUGUUUGUUGUUUCCUAUACACGAGUACUCACACA